ensembl:lncRNA
UAUAUAUAUAUAUAUAUAUGUAUGUAUAUAAGUUAUAUGUAUAUAAGUUCUCAUAUACAUAUACGCAGACAUGUGUGUAUAUACUGCUUUAAAAAAUAAACAGAAUGGAUUUAAUAAAAAUAUAUAAGCGGAAUGAAAUAAUAAAUGAUUACGUAAAUAUAUAUUUUGAUGAAGACGGUGAUGAUGAUAAUAAUAAUAAUAAAAUAAAACAGAAUAAUGAAAAAAUUGAAAAAAAUGUCAGUUAUAAAAUUUUACAUAUAAUUGGCAAUGGUGUUUAUGGUGUAGUUUAUAAAGCUGAUUGUUUAGAUAAUAGUAGUGUUGUAGCACUUAAACAGACUUAUCAAAAAAGUGCUAAAUUUUUUAAAGAAAUAGAAAUAAUGAAGAGACUAAAACAUCCUAAUAUUGUUAAAUUAAAACAUGCUUUUUAUACACAUAGUUCCGAUGGUGGUUUUUUUGUUCAUCUAGUUAUGGAGUAUGGUAAUACAGAUUUGGCAACUGCUUUAUAUUAUGUUACUUUUAAAAAUAAUGCUGAGUUUUUUAAUAAAAAUCAAGGUAAUAAUAAUAAUAAUAAUAAUAAUAAUAAUAAUAUGGUUAUAGAUAAUGUUAACAACGAUAGUUCUAACUUAAUAAAAAAAGAAAAAAAACAACAUGAACAAAAUGAACAAAAUGGUACUAAUAGUACAAAAGAUAUGACUUGUUCAGAUAAAACAAUUAAUACAAAUAACAAAAUUAACACAAAUAGUACAAAAUAUAUGACUUGUUCAGAUAAAAAAUUUAUAAAAAAUAGUGAUUAUAUCAGUUUAUCACAUGAUAAUGAUAUAAACAUAUCUAAUACGAGUAAAAAUAUUAACGAAAAUAAUGAACGUAGUAAUACAAACAUAAACAAAUAUAAUAAUUUAAUUAGUAAUUUUAAUAUAGACGCUUUACAAAAUAAUAUACAUAAUAUAUGUCCUUGUCAUAAUGUUAGUGAAUAUAUUAAACAUAUUUUUUUAAGUGAAAAUCAAAUAAAAAUAUAUUUAUAUCAAUUAAUUAGAGCAACUUUAUAUUUACACAGUUUACGUAUUACUCAUAGAGACAUAAAACCACAAAAUAUUUUAAUUUUUAUGAAUGAAAACAAUACUAAUAAUUAUGAUAAUAAUACUAGUAAUUGUAACAUAAAUAAUAAUGAAAGUACUAAUUAUAACAACAUGUAUACAGAUAAAAAAAUUAAUAAUAAUAAGAAGUGUGUAGUUUGUAUACACAAUUCUUUUAAAUUCCAAUGUAUUGUUAAUAAAAUAUAUAUGAAUAACAAUAAAAAAGUACUAAAUGGAAAAAAAUCGAACUUAAAUAUGAUAAAAAAAGAAGGUGAUAGUGGUACAGAUAUAAAAGUAAACAUCGAUAAAAAUGAGCACUAUAAUGUAGAAGAAAAUGUAAAAGUAAAUGCAAAAGUAAAUGUAAAAGUAAAUGUAAAAGAAAAUGCAAAAGAAAAUGCAAAAGAAAAUGCAAAAGAAAAUGCAAAAAUAAAUGCAAAAGAAAAUGCAAAAAUAAAUGCAAAAGAAAAUGCAAAAAUAAAUGCAAAAGAAAAUGCAAAAAUAAAUGCAAAAGAAAAUGCAAAAAUAAAUACAAAAGAAAAUACAAAAGAAAAUGCAAAAAUAAAUAAUAAUAAUGCAGAGACAAAAGAAAACUACCACUAUAAUGUUGAAAAGAAAAAUAAUAAUAACGAGAGUAAUAUAGAAAAUGUACAUAAAAAAAAAAGUACUGAAAUAAUAAAAAAUAUAAUUUUUAUAAAAGAAAAUAUUUUGAAUAAAAACAACCAUUAUAUAGAUAAUAAAAAAAACAUAAAACAUAAUAAUUUGAUUUAUUGCCAUAGUAAAACUACUCCUACACCUUUAAAAAGUAAACGAAAUGUAAUAAAUAGAAGUUCUGUACGAUUUAAGAGAUCUAUGAGUGUAAGUAGUAUAAUAAAUAAAAAUAAAUUAAAUUAUAUGUACAGUAAUAAUAAUAAUGUCUAUGAUAAUAAUUUUGUACAUGUCUCUAAAAAAAACUUAAAAAAAGAAUUAAGAAAAAAUAAAACAGAUUCAGUUUUUACUCAUAUGUAUAAAAACUUCACAAGAGUACAUGGGAAGGGAGAUAUGGUACAACUAAUGGAUAAUAUACUUACAGAUACUACUAAUCACACAUAUAAUGAUUAUAUAACAGAAACAAAAACAAAUGUAGAUAAAAAAAAAGAAAAUAAUAUUAAUAACAUUGAAGGGGUACCAAUUAAUAGUAAGGUAUCACAUCACUUAGGUACAAAUGUUCAGUUAGAAAAUUCAAGCGACUUAAACAAUUUAAAAAAAAACGAACUAGACCAGUUAGACCAGAGUGAAUUAGAACAAUUAGAUCAGAAUGAAUUAGAAAAACUAUACCAAAACAGUAAUAUGUAUAAGUAUAUAAAACUAUGUGACUUUAACACAUCUAUAAAAUUGAAAGAGAAUUAUAAAUAUAUCAGUUAUGUAUGUUCGAGAUAUUAUAGGGCACCAGAGUUAUUGUUUGGGUCGAAUUACUACAGUCAAGCCAUUGACACAUGGUCCAUAGGUAAUAAAAUAAAACAGAGUCGAAAUAUAGAAACACUUUGCUU